rnacentral:rRNA from 1 species
UACGGGGGGGGCAAGCGUUGUUCGGAAUUACUGGGCGUAAAGGGUUCGUAGGUGGCUUGUUAAGUCAGACGUGAAAUCCCUCGGCUCAACCGGGGAACUGCGUCUGAGACUGAUGAGCUCGAGUGCAGGAGAGGAACGCGGAAUUCCAGGUGUAGCGGUGAAAUGCGUAGAUAUCAGGAGGAACACCUGCGGUGUAGACGGCUUUCUGGACCAUUGCUGACGCUGAGACACGAAAGCGUGGGUAGCAAACAGG